UGUGAAACAAGAAAAAUGUGUGGCAAAAAAGGUUACUUCCAUUAACAUCAACUGCUAGGAAAGAUACUGAGAUGGAGUACAUGUCUGCACUCUGUGGAGUGGUCUGAGGGCGAGUGUUUCAUCUCUCACUCCAGCUGCUGUAAGAAGUCACAGAAGGAAGAGAAAUGUGACUCCCAACCACCUCAUCCUUCUGGUUUUGUCUGAAAGUAUCUGUAAUAACACUACAAGGCUGUGAUCUUUAAAGAGUGUGCACUCCCUGCCAGCUAACUUUGAAGCGGCGCUCAAGGAAGAUAAACACCACAGCCUGGCUUCCCAUAGGAACACCGGCAUCUCCCGCGCCCGCUGUUCCCACCAGAAACGCGCACGUCUAGCUCGGAUGGGAGAGACACCGCAAGGUGCAUGAGCAAACCAGCGGUGCCAGCCCAGGGCAGGAGGGCAGGAACAUCUGGAGGUUCUCUCCAGACAGCCAGCUGCACUUGGUGGUCUCCUCGGAAGGCUCUUCACCGAGUAAGACAGAGCCCCUCAACAGUCUCAGCCGGGAAGAGAGGAGCGAGGAGAGGCCUCCAGCCCUACACCCAACAGGGUUUAGUGGGGGGAGAAGAAAACCUGCCCUCAAAUUACCGACCAAAUUUGCUCCCAAAACAGUUAGAAACCACUGUUGCUGAAGGCCACAAAAAUUUAUGACAAAGAAGCAGCCACUCGGUGCUGCUGGCCUGGCAUCGGCCCUUCAGGUGACAGAGGCCUCCAUACAGAGGCACAAACACCAGUCUCUAACGAGGAGCCUAACGAAGAUAAAGCAAAGUGCCUCUAA